AGGGUUCAAGUCCCUGUUCGGGC
rnacentral:piRNA from 3 species